rnacentral:rRNA from 1 species
AAGCAUAUCAAUAAGCGGAGGAAAAGAAACUAACAAGGAUUCCCCUAGUAACUGCGAGUGAAGCGGGAAAAGCUCAAAUUUAAAAUCUGGCGGUCUUCGAUCGUCCGAGUUGUAGUCUGGAGAAGCGUCUUCCGCGCUGGACCGUGUACAAGUCUCUUGGAACAGAGCGUCGUAGAGGGUGAGAAUCCCGUCUUUGACACGGACUACCAGUGCUUUGUGAUGCGCUCUCAAAGAGUCGAGUUGUUUGGGAAUGCAGCUCAAAAUGGGUGGUAAAUUCCAUCUAAAGCUAAAUAUUGGCGAGAGACCGAUAGCGAACAAGUACCGUGAGGGAAAGAUGAAAAGCACUUUGGAAAGAGAGUUAAACAGUACGUGAAAUUGCUGAAAGGGAAACGAUUGAAGUCAGUCGCGUCGUCUAGAACUCAACCUUGCCUCGGCUCGGUGCAUUUUCUAGUUGACGGGCCAGCAUCAGUUUUGACCGUCGGAAAAAGGUCCUCGGAAUGUGGCACCUUCGGGUGUGUUAUAGCCUUGGGUCGUAUACGACGGUUGGGACUGAGGACCGCAGCACGCCUUUAUGGCCGGGGUCGCCCACGUACGUGCUUAGGAUGC